AGGGUUGUAGUUAAUUAUAACAUUUGAUUUGCAUUCAAAAAGUACUAUAGUCUUAGUCUUCCUUA
rnacentral:tRNA from 1 species